GACGAACGCUGGCGGCGUGCUUAACACAUGCAAGUCGAACGGUGAAGGGACCGGUUUUUGCUGGUUCUGGAUGAGUGGCGAACGGGUGAGUAACACGUGAGUAACCUGCCCCCUUCUUCUGGAUAACCGCAUGAAAGUGUGGCUAAUACGGGAUAUUCUGCGCCUGCUGCAUGGUGGGUGUGGGAAAGAUAUUGUUUCGGUGGGGGAUGGGCUCGCGGCCUAUCAGCUUGUUGGUGGGGUGAUGGCCUACCAAGGCGGUGACGGGUAGCCGGCCUGAGAGGGUGGACGGUCACACUGGGACUGAGACACGGCCCAGACUCCUACGGGAGGCAGCAGUGGGGAAUAUUGCACAAUGGGCGCAAGCCUGAUGCAGCGACGCCGCGUGAGGGAUGGAGGCCUUCGGGUUGUAAACCUCUUUCGCCAGCGAAGCAGGCCUGUCCCUUUUGUGGGUGGGUUGACGGUAGCUGGAUAAGAAGCGCCGGCUAACUACGU
rnacentral:rRNA from 1 species